GCCGUGAGUCGACGAAGGGAGCGCGGGCGCGCGCCCGCGUCCGCGCACUGAGAGUCGCCUCGGCCGCUCGCUUUCUCGACUCCCGCCUCGCGCCUCGAUCCUGUUCCGCCUCCCUCGGCCCUCCUGCCCGCCCCCACUCGUCGGCCCUCAGCUCAGAGACCUAAUAGGAUGGGGUCUUAGAGAAACAUCUUUUGAGCCACAGACUUCUUUGUUACCAGAAGGAAAAUGAAAGAAGAAAUUUAAAUACCACUUGAAGAGAGGUGCUGCCCAGUUCAUGAGUGCUGCUGCUGUCCUGCCCAAGUACCCAGCUUGCAGAGUGCCAGAGUUAGAGUCCCAGGGGUGUUCUCCACAGCUGCAUGCUUGAUCCAGGCCUAUCAGCAUUGUCUUUGAAUAUUAGCAAAUAAUGGAACAUGGGCCAAGGGUGAACCAUGACGAAUUUGUGUUCCAGCAGCCCUGCUUCUUUAGAAUUGACAGUCUGGCUUCGUGGUUAAUUCACAGCAUCUGAGGAAUACAUCCAAAGAGGGUGAUACUGUGGCAUGAUGGUACCAGGAUUCCAAGUUCAUUCCAGGUACAGUCGAUGCAUCAUUCACAGCAGACUCGUGAGUGUCCAUCCUGUGCCAGACUCCAUCGCAGGUGCUGGGGAUACCAGGCAGAGGAUGCAGUGUUGCCAGCUAUCAGGAAGACCUGACGGUCAACAAUCGUGCUUCCAAAGCCACCUGCAUAUUAUACUCCCUUGGGGGUCAGCUGUAAUAUACCUGUGCCUAGGCCCCAUCCUAGGCCAAUGGAAUCAGAAUCUCUGGGCCUAGGGCUGGCACACCCAUCUUUUUUAAGCCUCAAGUGCUGUUCAUGGGCAGUCAGGGCUGAGACCCCCUGCUGGAGUAGAAGGAUGGUGCAUAGGUAGCAAAACCACAAAGCAAUGGGCAAAGGCCAAGUCGCAGAUGGCAGUUGCGUAAGCUGGAAGUGGUGACAUUUCUCUUCAGUGCAUAACCACAGCUCAGAAUGAAUAUUUGUAUGGAUCAGGAGGCCAAGUGACCUGGUAUUGAGCAGUAGAUAAACGUUGCAUCUAUUUAUCACCACCCCCAAAAAACCUUUUUAAAAUGGCAAAUACCAUUCAUUAAAUGUUUAUUUUUCCUGCAUGAGGUCAAACAAAUAA
ensembl:lncRNA novel transcript, antisense to CBLN1